GCUGGGCGUGGUGGUGCACGCCUGUAAUCCCAGCUACCGGGGAGUCUGAGGCGGGAGAAUUGCUUGAACCCAGGAAGUGGAGGUCGUAGUGAGCAGAGACUGCACCACUGCACUCCAGCCUGGGUGACAGAGCAAGACUCCGUCUCAA
ensembl:misc_RNA Metazoa_SRP Metazoan signal recognition particle RNA